UUAGAGUUUGAANCUGGCUCAGAUUGAACGCUAGCGGGAUGCCUUACACAUGCAAGUCGAACGGCAGCGCGGACUUCGGUCUGGCGGCGAGUGGCGAACGGGUGAGUAAUGUAUCGGAACGUGCCCAGUAGCGGGGGAUAACUACGCGAAAGCGUAGCUAAUACCGCAUACGCCCUACGGGGGAAAGCGGGGGACCUUCGGGCCUCGCACUAUUGGAGCGGCCGAUAUCGGAUUAGCUAGUUGGUGGGGUAACGGCUCACCAAGGCGACGAUCCGUAGCUGGUUUGAGAGGACGACCAGCCACACUGGGACUGAGACACGGCCCAGACUCCUACGGGGAGGCAGCUA
rnacentral:rRNA from 1 species